UGUCAUUGUAAACCAGCCUCAGAUUUUGCCAUGAGUCCUUCUCUACAGAGUCAUAAUGUGGGGCCUCUCUGCCCCCAGGCCGAGGCCAACUGGUUGCUGGUUGCUUCCUUCACUAAUGUCCGUUCCUGCUCACCAGUUUUUCCUGGGAAAAGGAGACAGGGAAGCCAUCUCUGAUAUCUGCAAAUGAAAUUUCACAGAAGUGGACAAUCACCAGGUGAAAUCACAGCUACUCAACCCAGUUGGAAACUUCGGGCCUUUCUAACAAACCAGAGGUAACAGCUGCAUGGGCAAUAACAGUGCAGGUUGGACUGAACUUUGAUCAGUGUGCUGAGCACUCUCAGGAGGCUUUCAUCAGUUUCCGGACUCCUCUUACACUGUUGAGGGGUGCUCUCUCAUAGAAAGAGCCCCCAUCAGUAACUUCCUUUAAGAAUAUUUUAAGAAUAUGUGUGUUUAUUGUUACCUUCUGCUCGAAAGUCUUUCAAUAUACUCCACUGCCUCCCACCCAAGACCUGUUGACUCCAUCAGUGUACACUUGUCAUUCUACUUUGGCUACAUUUUGACUGUUAUUCAUUGAAAAUAAAUGAUCAAACAGAUCACCUUUCUCAAAGCACAAUAAACGCAUAAAACUGGG
ensembl:lncRNA